CGUCGAAAAUCGAAACUAAUACUACUAUGAAAAACGAACUCUGCUACGGAAAGCACUAUACGAACUCUCGAUACGGAUAAUAGGAUGAAACUAAAUAAUCAUUGCUUUCGGCAUUAUGCAUGGAACACUAGGGCGUUUGCCACGGUGAAGGAUGAGCAUGCGUGAUUCCACGCACACGGCCCAACUCCUAAUUACUUGGAGAUAAAUAUCACUCGGCGCUUGCGAAUAGCGUGCUCCUGCGGCGCCGUCUGAAAGAUCGUCAGUCAAACCAGUGAGCUACGGUUGGAUGUUAUCGCGAGCCGUAGUAAUCUUUAAUUAUACUGAUUUUGGGCUAAAGAUGCAUUUAAAACGCGAGGUGAAAGCAGCUUAACUCGCUCUUUCACAUCGUUCACACCAAUUCCGAUGUUAAUAUUUUGAUUUUAUAAAUCUGCAAUUAUUUCAUGUAAAAAUUGUAUGUACUUUUGGAUAAAAUCUCAGCAUAUAUUAAAGAUUAUUUUAUUUAUUUUAAUUCAAUUUAAACAGUGAUUACAAAUAGUGUAUAAAAACAUAAAAACAUUGCUCUGAUAAAAAUGUGCUUAAAAUCUGUAUUUUCUACGAAAUAAUUAUAGAUAUUCUGUUAUAAUAUUAAUAAAAUAGUAAUUCAAGUAUUUAUAUAUAAGAAAUGUGAGAAACAGUUCAACAGAUAAAAAGUUUACAUACAAAGUUUAAAUGCACAUUUGUCGAAACAGUUUUUCAUUUUCUCUUAGACACCGCUUUAAUCGAAUUUACUUUUGAUUGAAAUAAAAUCAUCUUUAUUCUAAAAAUUCAAAAACACUAUCUAAUAGCAGUAUCAGUGUAUAAGGUAUUGUUCUCCUAAUUAAAUUAAUAGUUAGAGUAAGCUACGCAGCGCAUAACAUUAAUCCUCGUGGUAUUAGUAACACGUUGAAGACUUGAGCCGAGAUCCCAAAGAGAAAGAGAAACGCAGAGAGAUGUCGGAAGAGAGACGAGAGAGGAGAGAGAAAGAGAGAGAGAGAGAGAGAGAGAGAGAGAAGAGAGCACUGAGAGAGUCUGAAGGACGACAACACUAAGAGUUCAAGCCACGUUAAGGUUUCAGGAUAGCAGGAUAUUAUACCUUCAGAAUGGUAGACCAACCGGAAGGAGAUGAGAAGUAGAGCAUAGCUGGGAAUACUGGAAGAGGCACUUUGAAGUGUCCAAGAAGGACAAUUAUGUUAGCAUGCAACCCGGUAGUACCAGGAGAACGCCGGAUAUUACGACAGCUGAUGGGGACAGAGCUCGUGGAACGAUCAAUAAUAUAAUACCACGUCGCCCCAGGUACCACCAUGCUAUCACACCAUCAAACAUCGUGCUUCCCAUACCUCGAGAUCUGGUUAGCCUUUUUAUCUACACACGCGCUAUUGCAUGCUCUUUUUUUAGAAUUCGUGCAAAGGUGAGGAUCUGUAUAAUGAUCAGAGCCCUAAAAAUUACAUCUUUUCGCGAAAUAAAUGAAUAUCAAAAAAAAAUGCAAUUUUACUAAAAAAAUAUUUUUGAAACAAGACAUAUCGUGUUGGAAAACAAUACAAAUGCAUUAUAUAAAUUUAUUAACUUAAUAAGUUUAAUUAACUUUUCAAUAUGCUCAAUUGUAAAAUUAAUAUAUGUAAGAUUAUGAAAGAUUAUGACAUAGAUAUGGAACAAAUUAAAUAUUUAUGUAUUAAAUAUCCAUUGAGAUAAAUUCGUUAAUUUUGCUCAUAAUGAGAGAUAUCGAACUUAAUAAAGAUAUUACAAAUAUCAUUUCUUUUUGUGUGUGUGU